rnacentral:rRNA from 1 species
AGAUUGAACGCUGGCGGCAGGCCUAACACGUGCAAGUCGAGCGGCAGCACGGGUACUUGUACCUGGUGGCGAGCGGCGGACGGGUGAGUAAUGCCUAGGAAUCUGCCUAGUGGUGGGGGAUAACGUUCGGAAACGGACGCUAAUACCGCAUACGUCCUACGGGAGAAAGCGGGGACCUUCGGGCCUCGCGCCAUUAGAUGAGCCUAGGUCGGAUUAGCUAGUUGGUGAGGUAAUGGCUCACCAAGGCGACGAUCCGUAACUGGUCUGAGAGGAUGAUCAGUCACACUGGAACUGAGACACGGUCCAGACUCCUACGGGAGCAGCGA